rnacentral:rRNA from 1 species
CCUACGGGCGGCAGCAGUGGGGGAUAUUGCACAAUGGGGGAAACCCUGAUGCAGCGACGCCGCGUGGGCGAAGAAGUAUUUCGGUAUGUAAAGCCCUAUCAGCAGGGAAGAAGAAAUGACGAUACCUGAGUAAGAAGCACCGGCUAAAUACGUGCCAGCAGCCGCGGUAAUACGUAUGGUGCAAGCGUUAUCCGGAGUUACUGGGUGUAAAGGGAGCGCAGGCGGGACGGCAAGCCUGAUGGGAAAGCCCGGGGCCGAACCGCGGGACUGCAUUGGGAACUACCGGGCUGGAGUGCCGGAGAGGUAGGCGGAAUUCCUAGUGUAGCGGUGAAAUGCGUAGAUAUUAGGAGGAACACCAGUGGCGAAGGCGGCCUACUGGACGGUGACUGACGCUGAGGCUCGAAAGCGUGGGGAGCAAACAGGAUUAGAUACCCUAGUAGUC